AUAUCUCUCCGUACGGGAAGGAUGAGAAGCUUCGACUAAGGUUCGAUUCGAGCGCAGCGAGAACGCGUUG
rnacentral:sRNA from 5 species